rnacentral:rRNA from 1 species
ACUCAAAUGAAUAGACGGGGGCCCGCACAAGCGGAGGAACAUGUGGUUUAAUUCGAUGAUACGCGAGGAACCUUACCCGGGCUCGAACGGCUGGUGAAUGUAGAUGAAAGUCUACAGUCGCAAGACACCAGUCGAGGUGCUGCAUGGUUGUCGUCAGCUCGUGCCGUGAGGUGUCGGCUUAAGUGCCAUAACGAGCGCAACCCUUACCGUUAGUUACCAUCAGGUAAUGCUGGGGACUCUAACGGGACUGCCACCGUAAGGUGAGAGGAAGGUGGGGAUGACGUCAAAUCAGCACGGCCCUUACGUCCGGGGCUACACACGUGUUACAAUGGGGGGCACAAAAGGCAGCUACCAAGCGAUUGGAUGCUAAUCUAUAAAACCCCUCCCAGUUCGGAUUGGAGUCUGCAACCCGACUCCAUGAAGCUGGAUUCGCUAGUAAUCGCGCAUCAGCCAUGGCGCGGUGAAUACGUUCCCGGGCCUUGUACACACCGCCCGU